GAGGCGAAGGCAGUCUGUGUUGGCUUCAGGGAAGAUCUCUGGUACCACCUCAAUUUCUGGGCCUGCCUAAAGGACGAUAGCGACGAGCAGAGCUUCUUCGCCGAGCUACACUAUGACCGGUGUUCCAGCACAAUAAUCAUCGAAACGUGCACCAUCUUAGAAAAACCGUUUUGCCGCUCUAGAAGCGGUUGCACAUUGUGUCCAGAUGAAUCCAAGAUUUUGCAUCCAAGCGAUGUGGAGCUUGGGUGUGGGAAGGAGGGCCACCAAGAGGAAUUCUUCCGCGAGAGGUUUGGAUGGAACGGACAUGUAAAGGAAUUUUUCAAUCCGAGGGAGAUGCUAGCGAUACCCUUCAAGUUAGGAGGACCAGUGCCUCGAUAUAGACUGGAGUAA
rnacentral:rRNA from 1 species